rnacentral:rRNA from 1 species
UACGUAGGUGGCAAGCGUUAUCCGGAAUUAUUGGGCGUAAGCGCGCGUAGGCGGUUUUUUAAGUCUGAUGUGAAAGCCCACGGCUCAACCGUGGAGGGUCGUUGGAAACUGGAAAACUUGAGUGCAGAAGAGGAAAGUGGAAUUCCAUGUGUAGCGGUGAAAUGCGCAGAGAUAUGGAGGAACACCAGUGGCGAAGGCGACUUUCUGGUCUGUAACUGACGCUGAUGUGCGAAAGCGUGGGGAUCAAACAGGAUUAGAAACCCCAGUAGUCC